AACGAACGCUGGCGGCAGGCUUAACACAUGCAAGUCGAGCGCCCUAGCAAUAGGGAGUGGCGCACGGGUGAGUAACGCGUGGGAAUGUACCGUUUAGUGGGGGAUAACCAAGGGAAACUUUGGCUAAUACCGCAUACGCCCUUCGGGGGAAAGAUUUAUCGCUAAACGAUCAGCCCGCGUGAGAUUAGGUAGUUGGUGGGGUAACGGCCUACCAAGCCGACGAUCUCUAGCUGGUCUGAGAGGAUGAUCAGCCACACUGGAACUGAGACACGGUCCAGACUCCUACGGGAGGCAGCAGUGGGGAAUAUUGGACAAUGGGGGCAACCCUGAUCCAGCCAUGCCGCGUGAGUGAUGAAGGCCUUAGGGUUAUAAAGCUCUUUUACCGAUGAAGAUAAUGACGGUAGUCGGAGAAAAAGCCCCGGCUAACUUCGUGCCAGCCGCCGCCGUAA
rnacentral:rRNA from 1 species